rnacentral:rRNA from 1 species
CUGGUAGUCCACGCUGUAAACGAUGUCGAUUUGGAGGUUGUGCCCUUGAGGCGUGGCUUCCGGAGCUAACGCGUUAAAUCGACCGCCUGGGGAGUACGGCCGCAAGGUUAAAACUCAAAUGAAUUGACGGGGGCCCGCACAAGCGGUGGAGCAUGUGGUUUAAUUCGAUGCAACGCGAAGAACCUUACCUACUCUUGACAUCCAGAGAACUUUCCAGAGAUGGAUUGGUGCCUUCGGGAACUCUGAGACAGGUGCUGCAUGGCUGUCGUCAGCUCGUGUUGUGAAAUGUUGGGUUAAGUCCCGCAGCGAGCGCAACCCUUAUCCUUUGUUGCCAGCGGUUCGGCCGGGAACUCAAAGGAGACUGCCAGUGAUAAACUGGAGGAAGGUGGGGAUGACGUCAAGUCAUCAUGGCCCUUACGAGUAGGGCUACACACGUGCUACAAUGGCAUAUACAAAGAGAAGCGACCUCGCGAGAGCAAGCGGACCUCAUAAAGUAUGUCGUAGUCCGGAUUGGAGUCUGCAACUCGACUCCAUGAAGUCGGAAUCGCUAGUAAUCGUAGAUCAGAAUGCUACGGUGAAUACGUUCCCGGGCCUUGUACACACCGCCCGUCACACCAUGGGAGUGGGUUGCAAAAGAAGUAGGUAGCUUAACCUUCGGGAGGGCGCUUACCACUUUGUGAUUCAUGACUGG